rnacentral:rRNA from 1 species
GAUGAACGCUGGCGGCGUGCCUAACACAUGCAAGUCGAGCGAACGGACUAGAAGCUUGCUUCCCUGAUGUUAGCGGCGGACGGGGGAGUAAAACGUGGAGAACCUACCUAUAAGACUGGGUUAACCUCGGGAAUACGCAGCUAAUACGGCAAAAUAUUUUGAACCACAUGGUUUAAAAGUGAAAGAAUGUCUUCAUAUAACUAAUAGAUGAAUCUGCGCUCCAUUAGCUUGAUGGUAAGGUAAGGGCGUAACAAGGCAACGUUGCAUAGCAGCCUUGCGAGGGAGAUAGGCCUCACUGGAACUGGAACGCGGUCCAGACUCCUACGGGAGGGAGCAGUAGCAAACCUUUCGCGAUGGGAGAAGUCCUGAAGGAGGAACAACGCGUGAAUGAUGAAGGCCGUCGGGUCGUGAGACUCAGUUAUUAGGGAAGAUCAUAUGUGUAUUUGACUGUGCACAUAUUGACGGUACCAUACCAGAAAGCCACGGCUAACUACGUG